rnacentral:lncRNA from 10 species
CAAACUUGAAGUCCUCAGGCCGCUUCUUCCGAGGCUGCGGCGGAGGCUGGGCAUGCUGCAGGGAGCCGGCGCCGGGCCGAGGCUCGGCUGCAGUGCCGUCCAUGGCGGGGCCCUGCCUGCUGCCACCAGGAAUGCCAGGGGGCGUGCUGGACUCAGUCUGGGUCCUCACCAUUGAUGGGGAUGGGCAGGAACAUAACACCACGCUGGACUGGAUGGGCACGGCGUCAUACUAGGCGACAAAGAGGAAAAGGAAGUAAGGCUCAAGGCAGCUGCCUUGCUCUCAAUGCACGGACUAAGGUUUAAGGACCUCAUUUCAACGCUCAAAAACAAACCCCAAGCACAGGGCAGGCCAGCUGAGCCCCGCGGUCUGCUGUGAGCUGCCGGCCUCCUCUCCUGAGUCCUGCCCGUGCCAUGGCUCCCCGCUAAUCCACCAGGCAGCGCCUCGCCCUCCUCCUGUCCCUCGCGCUGCCUGAGCCUCCAGCCAACUCAUCCCAAGGCCAAGGUAACCUGAGCAGAGAUAGCACGGCACAUCUUUAAUUGUGGGGGGGAUGGAGAGAUAAGAGUGAUGAUCGCAUGUGUUUACAAUACACAGAGACGCCCAGUGCUGGCAAGACUAUAAUAAAGCGAGCGCACUCACACCACUGCGGCUGGCACCAAAAACCGGGAUUGCAGUGGAAAUGUUUUUGGAAAGCAGUUUGGCAACUGUCAACAAAGCGACUACAGAACAGUUGUCAAUGAGACACAGAAAUACGAAGGAGAGGAGGGAGGGCAGAAACCCAGUUAACAAUGUAAGCGGGCACGGAGGGAAGAUCAGCGUGCAAAGCUAGGUCGGCAAGACGUGCAAGGUGCACCCACAGCCAUAACAAUCCCUCCCCAGACCCCAACGUGUCCUCACGGUGGUGGCAGUGGCCCCCCGCACUACAGAAGAACAAUGCGAGGCGAGCUCAGGCGCGCUGAUGGUGGUUUCCGAUACAACUCCCCACUCAAAGAACCCCGGAGAGCUCUUGAUUCCAUCUCUCAGUAGGGUCCUGAAGUCCAUGCUGUCUGAAGACACAGGGUCUCCCCCUGCGUCUGUGCCAGGACAGAGGGACUGCCACCAGCCAAGCUGCAAUCCUUUUAAACGCUAAAAACGGCCGGGCUUGGUGGCUCAUGCCUGUAGUCCCAGCAGUUUGGGUGGAUGAGGCGGGUGGAUCCCCUGCGGUCGGGAGUUCAAGAUCAGCCUGACCAACACGAAUAAACCCCUUCUCUACUAAAAAUACAAAAUUAGGCCGGGCACAGUGGCUCAGGCCUGUAAUCCCAGCACUUUGGGAGGCAGAGGCGGGAGGAUCACCUGAGGUCAGGAGUUCGAGACCAGCCUGACCACAUGGAGAAAUCCCGUCUCUACUAAAAAUACAAAAAAACUAGCCGGGCUUGUUGGCGCAUGCCUGUAAUGCCAGCUACUUGGGAGGCUGAGGCAGGAGAAUCGCUUCAACCUGCAAGGCAGAGGUUGCAGUGAGCUGAUAGCAUGCCAUUGCACUCCAGCCUAGGCAACAAGAGUGAAAUUUCGUCUCAAAAAAAAAAAAAAAAAAAAAAAAUAGGCCGGGCGCAGAGGCCAAAGUGGGUGGAUCACUUCAGCCCAUGAGUUCAAGACCAGCCUGGGCAAACACAGCAAAACCUCACCUCUACUAAAAAUAUAAAAAUUAACCAGGUACGGUGGCAUGUGCCUGUCGUCGCAGUUAAUUGGGAGGCUGAGGUAGGAGGAUUACCUAAGCCCGGGGAGGUCGAGGCUGCAAUGAGCCAAGAUCACAUCACUGCACUCCAGCCUGGACGACAGAGGGAGAUCCUGCCUCAAAAAUAAAAAAUAAUAAGUAAAUAAAUAAAAAGAAUAUAUUCACUAUUUUGCUUAUCAAAGUCUCUUAAAGGAGGUGACUUACCUACGCUAUGGACCCAAUUACUCAGCCAAUAAGAGGACACGGUCCCUGCCCAUAGAAAGCUGAUGUCCAGCCUGACCUCAAUACAAAACCAUCCAGUUAAAGUGGUGGGGGUGGCUAUGCAGAGACGGGCGGGUGCCGGGAGAGUCAAGGGCAGCCCCUUGGCUGGCCAGGGGCUCAGACAGACCAGCUGGGGAGAUGCAUCACUCGCCCAGGAAAACUGAUGACAGCUUAGAUGGCACUGCAAGAGCAGGGAGGAUCACACUCAUGUCCAGAAAGUGAAACAUAAAACAGCUAAACAUGUACCACACAGCUUUCAUACAAAAAUUUUAUAUACACAAAUUUUGAAAAAAUAGAGAUGGGGUUUUGCUUGUUGUCCCGGCUGGUUUCGAACUCCUGAACUCAAGUGAUCUGCCUGCCUCAGCUUCCCAAAGUGAUGCAAUUACAGGCAUGUGCCACCAUGCCUGGUGACUUUUUUUCUGUUUUGAGACGGGGUCUCACUCUGUCUCCCAGGCUGGAGUUCAGUGGCAUGAUCAUAGCUCACUGCAGUCUCGACCUCCUAGGCUCAAGUGAUCCUCCCACCUCAGCCUCCUGAGUAGUGGGACCACAGGUGUGCACCACCGUGUCCAGCUAAUUUUUGUAGAGAUGGGGUCUCAUCAUGCUGCCCAGGCUGGUCUCAAACUCCAGGGCUCGAGUGAUCCGCCAUCCUUGGCCUCCCAAAGUGCUGGAUUACAGACCUGAGCCACCACACCAGGCUGCCCCACACAUUGUAAAGUUUCGCUUCCCUCUAAUGUCAGAUUCCAAAGACAGCAGCCUUCAUGAGUCAGAAAGAAACAUCGGUCAUUUUGAAAUCAACAUCCAACUGAAGUGUAGAAAGGCCUCUGGAUUUUUGAAACGGCAACAACAGAUGAUGUAAUACAAAGACGCCCCCACCCCACUGCUUUCCCACUGCAUGCUUUACAUGACAUGGCACAGCUUCCACGCCAGCAGCUUCAAUCAUGUAAAGCGAAUGCAGUCCCAUCAAGACCACAGCAUUGGCUGAGCAGCUACUCCAUGCUGGGCACCGUCCUGGGCACUGGAAGUACAGCAGAGAACGAAACCAAGACCACACCCUCCAGAAGCCUGCAUUCCAGCAGGACAGACAGACUUCCAUACACAGAGCAGGAAAAUGCACAGCGUGUCAGAUGAUGAUGAUUACUAUGAGAAAAAUAAAGCAGGCAAAGAGAACAGGACUAUUUGGAUGAGGGUGGUGCAAAUUCAAAUAAUCAGACAGCCUUUGCUGGGAAGGUGAUAUCUGAGCAAAGAUUCGAGAAGGUGGGGAGAGCCCCGGAGCCUUCCCCGCAGAGCAGAGGAGGCCCGGGAAGCUCUGGACUCAUAGCGGUUCAGCACGGCCACGACACGGCCACUUCCAGACAGAGCCCCUGGCUGCUGGGUAGGGACCGCAGCACCUCAGAGAACCCUUUCUGGGGUCACUUCUGGCACCCUCUGCAAACCUCAAGGGGGAGCGUGAGGCUGGGGGCUGUCCAUCAGGGUCCAGGCACCUCCUGAAGGAACCUCUCAAAGCCAGCCGAUCACCGGCUCCAGACCCACGCUGUCAGACAUCUCUGUGGCCACCAGACCACUGCCACUCUCACGGGUGUGAUGACAUGGGACCUGCCUACUGGUAGUCUUCUGCCUUCGUGGAAUUCUGCAACUUCCUUCCUGCCUCGGCCACAGCAUGUCAGCCAAGCACCUGUCAGGGUCCCUCCCUGGCAGGACGAUGUUUAGAAGCUCAACACCUUGCUCCUGCCUCCUCUUCAGACCCAUCAGAACUUGCUACCAUGGGUGUGUUUUAAUAAAUAACUUCAUUUCUGCAGCAAAUAAAUAAAUAAAUAAAUGUAGUUGCAAUAUUGCCUUUAAAAGCACUUUUAAGCAUCAAUUGUGAAAUAAAAAGCCCGAGCAAAAGCCCUCUUUGAGCGUGAAGUGUCUAAACGUUUAUUUGUACUACUAUUGUUGUAAAGGGUAGAUUUUGUAGCAUUUUGAGGUGGUGAUUCAACUGCAUUAACAGCAUCCCGAGACCGCCUGCCACGAUCUGGAGGAAACGCACGGCCAGG